AUUCUGACCGUGCGAAGGUAGCAUAAUAAUUUGCUCUAUAAUUGGGGGCUAGUAUGAAUGGUUUGACGUGAGCGAAGCUGUCUCUGUGUUGAUUUUUUAGAAUUUGAUUUCUAGGUGAAGAAACCUAGAUUUUAUUAAAAGACAAGAAGACCCUAUUGAGCUUUAAAGAAGCAAGCAAGGUGAGAGUUACUAAUUAGAAAGCUUAUUUGUUUUCAAUUUUGGUUGGGGCGACUAAGGAACAGUUAAAGCUUCUUUUAUACUCUGAAGUUUUAUAGAUAGAGAUCCAAAUUUUUUUGAUUGAAAAAAUUAGUUACCAUAGGGAUAACAGCAUAAUUCUUUUUGAGAGUUCUUAUCGAAAAGAGGGUUUGUGACCUCGAUGUUGGACUAAAAUUUCCUGAAGGUGCAGUAGUCUUCAAGGGUUGGUCUGUUCGACCAUUAAAAUU
rnacentral:rRNA from 1 species